rnacentral:rRNA from 1 species
AUGUUGGCUGAAUUUGACCCAGUUAUAAAAGAGCAUGUUGACCGCAUCAUGAAUGAUAAAAUUCGUGAUCAUUAUCUUGGCCCCUCCAUACAGAAUGAGUUAAUCAAUUUGCUCGCUGCCGCAAUCAAGUUGAAAAUCAUUGAGAAGGUAAAAGAAGCAAAGUACUUCUCAGUUAUACUUGACUGUACUCCUGAUGCAAGCCACCAAGAACAAAUGUCUUUGAUAAUUAGGUAUGUUGAUGCAUCUCCAGAUUCUUUUUGCAUUGAAGAAUCCUUCUUAGGUUUUUUGGAUGUGAAUGAUACCACCGGGCAAGGAGUGUUUGAUGUUUUACAGAAGGAAUUGAAGAGUCUUGACCUUGAUGUGGACAAUGUGAGAGGUCAGGGAUAUGAUAAUGGGUCGAAUAUGAAAGGAAAAAAUAAAGGAGUGCAAAACAAAGUAUUGGAAAUAAACCGAAGAGCCUUUUAUUCAGCUUGUGGUUGCCAUAGUCUGAAUUUGGCACUAUGUGAUAUGGCAAAGUCUUGUCGUAAAGCAACAGAUUUUUUUGGAGUUAUCCAGCGUAUCUAUACAAUAUUUGCUAAUUCUACUAAGAGAUGGCAAAUUCUCAAAGAUAACAUACUAGGAUUGACUCUCAAGUCAUUAUCAUCUACUCGUUGGGAGAGUCGUGUUGAUAGUGUUCAGGCUAUAAGGUUUCAACUACCGGAAUUAAGGGAGGCCUUAUUGCAAGUGGCUGAAAGUGAUAAAGAUACUUCGACACAAAGUGAAGCUCAAUCAUUGGUGGAGAAUGAACUUGGUGGCUUUGAUUUUUUAGUAUCAAUCAUCAUCUGGUAUGAAAUAUUAUCCGCUGUUAAUUUGAUUAGCAAAGAGUUACAGUCAAAGGAUAUGCUUAUUGAUAUUGCAAUUGAAUCUGUAAAAGGCUUGCUUUCCUUUUUCAAAAAGUAUAGAGAAACCGGCUUUUCAAAAGCAUUGGAAGUUGCCAAAAAAUUUGCAGUGGAGAUGGAUAUUCAUCCAGAGUUCCGCACCAAGCGUAAAAUCAAAAGGAAAAAACAAUUUGAUGAGGGUGAAGAUGAUGCAUCUAUCGACUCACAAUCUGCAGAGGAGUCAUUUAGGAUCAAUUAUUUUAUACGUGUUGUUGAUCAAGCUAUAACUUCACUUACCAUUAGAUUUGAACAAUAUGAGGGGUAUGAAAAGAUAUUUGGUUUCUUGUUUACUUCAGAUAGGCUGCGAUCACUAGAUGACAAGAGUUUGAUGGCUGCUUGUGUUAAUCUUGAAGGUGCACUUAAGAGUGGAGAACAUACAGAUAUUGAUGGACUUGAAUUGUGUUGUGAGCUAAUUUUCAUCCAGGAUUUACUACAUAAAUCAAUGGGUCCUCUUGACAUUCUGAAUUAUUUGAAGAAGCGCUCCACAAUCUAUCCUAAUGCUGUUAUUGCAUAA